rnacentral:rRNA from 1 species
CCUACGGGUGGCAGCAGUGAGGAAUAUUGGUCAAUGGCCGGAAGGCCGAACCAGCCAAGCCGCGUGAAGGACGAAGGUGCCAAGCAUUGUAAACUUCUUUUGUCAAGGGACAAAAUCAUGCUCGAGAGCCUGACCGAGGGUACUUGAAGAAAAAGCAUCGGCUAACUCCGUGCCAGCAGCCGCGGUAAUACGGAGGAUUCGAGCGUUAUCCGGAUUUAUUGGGUUUAAAGGGUGCGUAGGCGGACUGUUAAGUCAGCGGUAAAAGCCGGGGGCUCAACCCAGGAGAGCCGUUGAAACUGGCUGUCGUGAGUAGUGGAGAGGUAUGCGGAAUGCGCGGUGUAGCGGUGAAAUGCUUAGAUAUUGCGAAGAACUCCGAUUGCGAAGGCAGCAUACCGGCGGCGAUCUGACGCUGAGGCACGAAAGCGUGGGUAUCGAACAGGAUUAGAUACCCGUGUAGUC